AGGCGAAGGCUGGACACAGACUUGGGGGCGGGAGGGGUGGAGGGCUGGCAGCAGUCCCUGCAGAAGAUGCCUGUCACCUCCCUAAUCCCCUGAAGUCUUCAAGUCUAGGAACCCUCUCGCCUGCCCUCCACUCCUGCUCCACCCCGACCCACGUGUAUCUCCCUGUUGCAGUGAGGCGUUCUGAAUGGCCCUCAUUUUAGGCAGCUCAGAAAAGUGCCAAGUGCCUGAGAGUCCCAAAUGUAAGUGCAGAGGGAUUAAAAGGCCCUGCUGCAUUUAACUUGCUCCAUCUUCGUUUCCAUCUCGCCUUCCAUCCCUGUUUUUUUUUUUUUUUGUCGUUCCCUGGAGGAGGUGGGAAGAUCCUGGCUUGUCAGCUUGUCUUUCAGGAAAUGGACAGGAUUUUUUUUUGAAGGUGCUGGGUGCUUACAAAAAGGGCAAAGGAUAGAGCCGCUGCUCCCCAGACGACUCAAAAUGACUUUCAUGUGGAACACAGGAGGAGUGAGAAGGGCCUCCCAUUUAUUUACCAUCUACUAAGACGUUGUGUCCCUGUCACGUACCAGGAGUGCCUCUACUCUGGACAUCCAGGGACUUCGGAGAGCUGGAAGCAUAAGGACUGUGCAAUGACAGAAUCUGUGUUUUCUACCACACCCUGCCUGUGAAUAGUCCUAAUAUUUAAAAAGAAUCGCCCUUGGACUCCAGGAACACCUCACCCAAGGUCACGCCCCACCUCCAGUGGGCUGGCCUGUGGCUGCUGACUCCUGAUGCCCUUGGGACUACUCUGCAGGAUCACCAUGUUCAGCUCUCCUUGUAGGACCAGCGGCGGCCUCACUUACUAUGGCACAGUGGGCCGGCUUCUCCGCUGCCCACUCCCGCCUGGUCAUUCCGUGCAGGGGCAUCUCCUGACUGCUCUUCGCAACAAACCUUGCAAUUUUCUGUCUUGAAUCUGUUUCCUGUGAAGCCCAUCGAAGACCACUGCCUUCUCGGGCAGGCCUCCACUGCCAGCUCCAGCUGCCUCCCCACCGUGAGUCCCCUGGCCUGGGGACAGAUACAGGCUCAUUCCCGAGUAGCCUCCGAUAUUGAUUGGCUAACCUGGGAUUGCUGGGAGGGACUGGUCCCCGCAACUGUAGCACAUGGAUUGAGGGGAGUUUCCCCUUGUCCCCAAACUGUCGUGCAGUUACCUGAAGACAGAGUGGGCUCCAAGCAGGUAAAAACAGCAGGAGUGUCUGUCCCGGCUAAAGGCUGCUCCUACGGCUACCAGCUCCCCAGCACCUCUGCCUGCCCCAUGCACAGGCCUUGGGAAAGCCUCCAGGGAGAGAGGCACAGGUGUGUGUCCCAGCACGGAGUGUGCUGGUGUGAGGGUGGGGCACGGCCAUGGCAGCGUCUGCUACACAGAGGUUGCGGGUGAGUGAAGGACAGAGGACUGGCUUCUGCAGGUGCUCAUAAUAAUAUUAAAAACUAGCAUUGAAACUG
rnacentral:lncRNA from 1 species